rnacentral:rRNA from 1 species
AUACGGAGGGUGCAAGCGUUAAUCGGAAUUACUGGGCGUAAAGCGCUCGUAGGCGGUUUGUUAAGUCGGAUGUGAAAGCCCCGGGCUCAACCUGGGAACUGCAUUCGAUACUGGCAAACUAGAGUAUAGUAGAGGCAAGUGGAAUUCCGGGUGUAGCGGUGAAAUGCGUAGAUAUCUGGAGGAACAUCAGUGGCGAAGGCGACUUGCUGGACUAAUACUGACGCUGAGGAGCGAAAGCGUGGGGAGCAAACGGGAUUAGAAACCCCGGUAGUCC